rnacentral:rRNA from 1 species
AUAACUUUGUGAAUUGAAACAUCUAAUUAGCAAAAGGAAAAAAAAUCAAUCGAGAUAUUGUUAGUAGUGGUGAGCGAAAGCGAUUUUAGCCUUAUAUUGAUAUCGUGUUAAUUUCAUUUUAAGAAAAGUAACAUUUUUAAUGUUAUCUCCAAAGAAGGUGUAGAGUCCUGUAAGAAAAAUAGAGUAGCGAUAUUUAAAGUAGAGCAAGCUGUGGGUUUUGUUUGAAUAAAGGAAAACCAUUUUCUAAGGCUAAAUAUAUAUAAUAUAUUUAUAGAGUAGAGUACCGUAAGGGAACGAUGAAAAGUACCUUAAGUUAAACGUUAUGGAGUGAAAUAGACUUGAAAUUAAGCACAUAAGAGCUAUUGAAGUAACCAGAAUAAAACAGUGUUAUAACAAUGUACCUUUUGUAUAAUGGGUCGACGAGUUAAUUUAUUUAAUAAAUUUACAAGUAUGAAAGAUUUUAAAGUGUAGCGAAAGCGAGUUUGAAAUAGAGCGCGAAUUAAAUAAAUUAUAACCCGAAACUGGAUGAUCUAAUUAUGUACAGGGG